CUUUUUAUAAAAUUUAGAAAGGAAAUGGGAAAUGUGUCAAAAUGUGUCAAUAACCCGACCAUAGACCAGACAACAGCCGGAGACCACCAAUGGGUCGCAAUAUAAGUUUUACAAUAGCACAAUAAUGGAAUGUAAAAGCAAAAAUUAAAGACAAGAAUACAGAAAUAUCAUAAACAAUAAUGACAGGAUAUAUAAGUACCACAAGUAUCCGAAUCACAAUAAAAAACAAAAAAAAUAUUUAACUGAAGCACAAAAAGCCAUAAAUCAAGUUCAUUGCUUUCUUAUAAGCAAAAAUGAAAGCAUGAACUGUUUAUGUGUAUAACCUC
rnacentral:lncRNA from 1 species